UACGUAGGGCGCAAGCGUUUGUCCGGAAUUAUUGGGCGUAAAGAGCUCGUAGGCGGUUUGUUGCGUCGGCUGUGAAAAACCUGCGGCUUAACUGUGGGCUUGCAGUCGAUACGGGCAGACUUGAGUUCGGCAGGGGGGGACUGGAAUUCCUGGUGUAGCGGUGAAAUGCGCAGAUAUCAGGAGGAACACCGGUGGCGAAGGCGGUUCUCUGGGCAUGUCCUGACGCUGAGGAGCGAAAGUGUGGGGAGCGAACAGG
rnacentral:rRNA from 1 species